UUCCAGACUCCUACGGGAGGCAGCAGUGAGGAAUAUUGGUCAAUGGGCGGGAGCCUGAACCAGCCAAGCCGCGUGAGGGAAGAAGGUACAGCGUAUCGUAAACCUCUUUUGUCAGGGAACAAAGGCGGGGACUAGUCCCCGGAUGAGGGUACCUGAAGAAAAAGCAUCGGCUAACUCCGUGCCAGCAGCCGCGGUAAUACGGAGGAUGCGAGCGUUAUCCGGAUUUAUUGGGUUUAAAGGGUGCGUAGGCGGAGUGUCAAGUCAGCGGUAAAAUUUCGGGGCUCAACCCCGUCGUGCCGUUGAAACUGACGCCCUUGAGUGAGUGAGAAGUAAGCGGAAUGCGUGGUGUAGCGGUGAAAUGCAUAGAUAUCGCGCAGAACUCCGAUUGCGAAGGCAGCAUGCCGGCUCCACACUGACGCUGAGGCACGAAAGCGUGGGUAUCGAACAGGAUUAGAUACCCGAGUA
rnacentral:rRNA from 1 species